GAUGAACGCUGGCGGCGUGCCUAAUACAUGCAAGUCGAGCGAACAGACGAGGAGCUUGCUCCUCUGACGUUAGCGGCGGACGGGUGAGUAACACGUGGAUAACCUACCUAUAAGACUGGGAUAACUUCGGGAAACCGGAGCUAAUACCGGAUAAUAUAUUGAACCGCAUGGUUCAAUAGUGAAAGACGGUUUUGCUGUCACUUAUAGAUGGAUCCGCGCCGCAUUAGCUAGUUGGUAAGGUAACGGCUUACCAAGGCAACGAUGCGUAGCCGACCUGAGAGGGUGAUCGGCCACACUGGAACUGAGACACGGUCCAGACUCCUACGGGAAGCAGCAGUAGGGAAUCUUCCGCAAUGGGCGAAAGCCUAACGGAGCAACGCCGCGUGAGUGAUGAAGGUCUUCGGAUCGUAAAACUUUGUUAUUAGGGAAGAACAAAUGUGUAAGUAACUAUGCACGUCUUGACAGUACCUAAUCAGAAAGCCACGGCUAACUACGUG
rnacentral:rRNA from 1 species